rnacentral:rRNA from 1 species
CCUACGGGAGGCAGCAGUGGGGAAUAUUGCACAAUGGGGGAAACCCUGAUGCAGCGACGCCGCGUGAAGGACGAAGUAUUUCGGUAUGUAAACCUCUGUCAGCAGGGAAGAAAAUGACGGUACCUGACCAAGAAGCCCCGGCUAACUACGUGCCAGCAGCCGCGGUAAUACGUAGGGGGCAAGCGUUAUCCGGAUUUACUGGGUGUAAAGGGAGCGUAGACGGCCGUGCAAGUCUGGUGUGAAAGCCCGGGGCUCAACCCCCGGACUGCAGUGGAAACUGUGAGGCUGGAGUGCAGGAGAGGUAAGUGGAAUUCCUAGUGUAGCGGUGAAAUGCGUAGAUAUUAGGAGGAACACCAGUGGCGAAGGCGGCUUACUGGAC